rnacentral:rRNA from 1 species
GAUGAACGCUAGCGGCAGGCCUAAUACAUGCAAGUCGAACGGUGUCUUCGGACAUAGUGGCGCACGGGUGCGUAACACGUAUGCAACCUACCUUACAUUGGGGGAUAGCCUCUCGAAAGGGAGAUUAAUACCGCAUAAGACAGUAGCUGGGCAUCCAGCAGCUGUUAAAGAUUUAUCGAUGUAAGCUGGGCAUGCGUCCAAUGAGCUAGUUGGUGAGGUAGCGGCUCACCAAGGCAAUGAUUGGUAGGGGAACUGAGAGGUCAACCCCCCACACUGGCACUCAGAUACGGGCCAGACUCCUACGGGAGGCAGCAGUAGGGAAUAUUGGGCAAUGGACGCAAGUCUGACCCAGCCAUGCCGCGUGCAGGAUGAAGGCGUUAUGCGUUGUAAACUGCUUUUAUACAGGAAGAAACGACUCUUGCGAGAGGCAUUGACGGUACUGUAUGAAUAAGCACCGGCUAACUCCGUGCCAGCCGCCGCGGUAAUAC